UAGAGCAGUUCGGUAGCUCGUCGGGCUCAUAACCCGGAGGUCGGGGGUUCAAAUCCCU
rnacentral:tRNA from 1 species